GCUCCUUGAAGGUUAACAUUCGCUGAAGGAAUUGCGGGGAGGAGAGCUUCGUGUUGAAGUUGAGUCUUGGGCUCAACACGUGCUGUGGGAGGAUGAGCGGGUGUGGGUCCCAACUUGACCCUUCACACUGGAUGCUUGACUUCUCCAAGCCUCGGUUUCCUCAUCUGUGAUAGGAAGGUCCCGAUUCCCAAUUGACAGGACAAUUGGGCUGCUGCUGCUGCUCAGGGGAGGUCUUGGCAGUGAAAGGAUUUACUUGGAACGAUUGGCGUUGCCUGAGGGCUGUCGCUCUCCGAGGAAACUCCAAAACGGGUUCUAAACGGGUUCUGAAGCAGCUCCUGACGAAAGUGUUGAAGAGGCGAGAUGAAGCGGACGCUUGGUGCAUGGCAGAGGGGUGUGGUGCAGGAGCGUGGCCAUGGCAGGGUCAGAGAAUGGCUGUAGGAGACACCGACCUCUCUUGGAAACUCCCGGGUCUGAAUUUCCUCUCGGAAAUUUCCCGGAAAUUCCUCUGGGCCUCAGUCUUUCAAUCGCUGCCUAUGAAAGCUUCCUCUGAGCAGAGAUGCUCUCACUUCGGAACAGAGAAAGCUCAGCACUUAAACAGUCUCCGAUUUUGUGCUACUUUGAUCAUUUUGUAGUGCAGUGUUUUCUUGACUGAGUGCGUCAGGAGUGAAGCGUUUUAGCUUCACUGAACUUGACAAGCAGGUUAAAACCUGAGAGGUGUUCUUAUUGCCAGUGGCAGAGAUUCCUGUCUCCUCUCACCCCUCCCAACUGCCUAGGCGGCCUCCCUACACCCAGCCUCUCUUCCUCCACAGACUGCCAGGUGCCACCCCUGUGCCUUGUGCAGCGGGCAGAGCUGGGCCGUGAAAGCUGUCACUAGCCCACCAGUGGGACUUGGGAGACUUCCUCUCUGCGCAGUCUAGGUCUCAGCCGUUUUCAUUUCUGACCUGGGUGGGCGGAGAGGUAGGAAUCUGGAGCGCUGAUCUGGAGCGCUGAUCUUGAUGGUUCAUUCAUUCAAAGGCUCCCUUGGUGGAGCUUGCACUUCCCCUCCAUUCAUUAUGUAGACGACAGAUUUACAUAGAGUACAUCUGGCUUUACUUUUAAGAGGCUUUCUCUUUCUUCUCACUAAACAACAUAACCCAACAGUAUGGAGGGGAUUUGCCCUCAUCCCAGAUCUGUGAGGCCGUCUUUGUAUUUGAAUAUUGGUUCUGCUAUUUACUAGCUGGGUGGGGGUAAGUGACUUAUUCCCUUUCUGCCUCUCCCUCAUCUGUACUGACCUGCACUUUGUUACAUCUAUAUUUGAAGAUGGUUUUUCUAUUCUUGUUUGACAAAUUUAGCAGCUUAAACCAGUACCCGUUUAUUAUAUCAUAGUUACGUAGUCUGAAGUCCAGGCAGGCCUGGCUGUGCAUCACAAGGCUGGAAUCAAGGUGUUGGCAGCUUUGCUCUUACCUGGAAGCUCUAGGGAAGAAGCUGCUUCCAGGCUUAUUUAGGUGGCUGGCAGAAUCCAGUUGCUUGGAGUUGUAGAACUAAGGUCUCUGUUUCCUUGCUGGCUGGGGACGGCUGUGUAACUUAAGGUCCACUAACUUAGGACUCUAAGUGUAUCUGCAGAAUGCCUUCACAACAGUACCCAGAUGAGUAUUUGACUGAAGAACCAGGGGACAGGAAUCUUGGGCGGCUAUCUUUAGAAUUCUGCCUACCACUGAAGAUGAAAUGAGGAAAUAUAUGGAGAGUCCUUAGAGCUCUCCUGCUCCUUAGAGCAGAGUAUGUCCUGGCGUACAGCAAGUGCCGUACAAGCAUUACCAAGGAUUCAUCACCACAAACUUGGCUCUGAAGCUGCUCACUGUGGACUACAUGAAAAUGGUGUUUCUAUAAAACAUGGGAACUGCUAGUCAGUGGCCACUUUCGACUCUCCACUGGAGGCUGCUACAGCGUUUCCUCACCUGCAGCAGCCCAGCUUUCUACUGAUUUUCUCUAUCAAGAGGUCUCCAGCCUGGGGCAGUGGCACGUGCCUGUAGUCUCAGCUCCUCAGGAGUCUGAGGCAGGACGAUCCCUUCAGUCAAAGAGUUCAAGGCCAGCCUGGGCAACAUGGUGUCCCCAUCGUGAAGCAACACAUAACAGUAUACUUCAAUAUGUAUUAUAGCAAAUACCAUCACUACAGACAUCUGGUCAAAGCCAAGGUUCGCCUAUUGAGAGAGCAACUGAUGGGCACACUCCAGUGUGCUGCUUAGCGCCAGCUGUAGCCCAUGUGCAGGAUAACGUGUGCAUGAGAGUUACACAAAUCCAAGCGCCUUUGUUGUGGUGUGGAGAAAAGUGUCAUAAUUUUAUGUUUAUCUUACCUUCUCAACUCUCUCUGGGGGUACUUUGCAAAUAAUUGAGUCCAAACAGAAGUACUAAAUGACUUAUGAACUCUAUGCUUAGUAAAUAUAUUAAACCUGAAUAACUUAAAAUGUGCAUUUUUAAUAGAAAAUUUGAUUUUAAUUUAGAAUUGUGUCUUUUAGUGUAAUU